UGAAACGUCCUGCUGAUGCUUCGGACUUCGACAGGAAAGUGGAGCCCGAUACAGAAUUGUAAUACUGUAUCAGUCUCACUUUCUUGUUGAAGUCCGAAAGCUGUUUUCAACAUUUAUAG
rnacentral:precursor_RNA from 12 species